GAAUUCAGAGAACACACACACACACAUGGUCUCUUCUCCCAGCCCCAGCCACACCACCCCUCACACAGCUCCUGAACUACAAGAAGGCUUUUCACCAGCACUGCACCAAGAACUCUUCACGGGGAUGAUUCAAACCAAGGCUCCAUCAUUUCUGAAUCUGUGUGACUUUGGGUGCCCUCCAUAACCAUUCUGUGCCUUCAUUUCCUCAUCUAUAACCAGGAAUCCUAACUCAUGGGGAAUGUGAGGAUUAAAUGAGUCAACUCACCUUACAGUACCUGGCCCACAGCAGACACCCUGCUUGGUGAUUCUCAUGUGCAGCCAAGACUGAGAACCUCAUGAAGACAGAUAAGCAGGGCUACUCCCGAGGGUGAGUGCUCAGCUUUUAUUGGAAGCAGGCUUGGCCUGAGUGCAUCUGAAUUCAUCCUUCCUGGUGCCCAAACCAGCCCAGAGAAUUCCUGUGGCUGGAGUGACCCAUACAGACAAUGUUAUAGAAAGGAUGCCAGCAACUAACGGGGCACAGAACUACAGGAGUGGGCAGGCUGUAAGGGCUCCCUAACUGAGAAUGCCGUGUCUCCAUGCAACACCCUGGGUCUGCCUCUAAUGCCUGGAGUCUUUCCUGUUCCAAGAACCAGCAAGGCUGUGGUCAUGUGAAAAGCAUUCUUGGGGGUUGUGUGUGCACAGCCAACAUGACUGCACACAAGGGCCUCGACCAAAGGCAGUACACACAAUGUCUGGCAUCUCUCAGGACAGUGAUCCAAAACACGUGUUUGGCCAAGGCUCAGGAAGACCCCACACUAAUAGGCCCCACCACGCCAUCAGCCAGGAGGGAAGCCUGCCUGUCCCCGUCCUCACCGAAGGAUGGUCACCAACAGGAGAAGCUGCUCUAGAAGCACGGGAGGAAGACGCUCAGCCCAGAUCCACUCCAGAUCCCACAAAUAGGCUUGAGCAGGCUUGGGCAAAGCGUGGAUUAUGGCUCUAUUUAGGAUGCCUGGGGCUCGUUCAUCCUGACAGCGCAGGAGACCUGGCGGGUCCAAGCAGAGGAAUCAACAUGAGCAGAAGAAUGGUGGUGCAAGGCAGCCAGUGUGUUUGGGAAAUGUGAGAAGGUCAGCAGGGCUCGAGGAAGUUCUAGAGAACACAGAGGAGAGCCGCAGCAGUCUACAGAGCUGGGGGCGGAGGCCACCACAUGCCAGCCCGAGGAGCCUGGGUGCUAUCCUGGAUGACAGAGAGCAUGACCUUAACUUGUCACCCACGCAGGAGACAGUCACCAGCUGCUUCAGUGUUGAACCUCCCAGGUGGACGGCAGCGAAGGUCUCCUGCCGAGGCCUCACUGGGAGCGCCACUUCACACCUCCCCUGUCACCUGCUGCCCAAAGGCCCUUUUCCCCCUCACAGGGGAAUAAAGCACUGCCAGCCUUUUAACCCCAGGUCUGCAUUAUCUCCCUAAUCCCCACAUCUCAGCAUUUCUCCGGUGCACCUCCUACAGGGCUGAGCAAGCCCACUUCACGCCCUCGACUGGCCGCCAGCAAGCACAGGCAAGCACCCACGGAGGCCUGAAAGCGUCUCCGUUUGUGUUUACAUAUUGGCUCAUUCCAAUCCACCAGGCAACCAACAUUUCCUGAGGGCCUACUGUGUGCCAGACUCUGAUGAGAGUACACAGCACUGUGAAAUACAAGAUUACUGCCUCAGCGGAUCAACAAGAUUUCAUCUCAUGAAAACACAGCCACACACGCUGUUAGGG
ensembl:lncRNA